AAAUUAUAUUCAAAUCAUCCAAGGAGAAAGCUCGGAACUACUAAGUUCGAAGAAAGUGGAGAAAUGGGUAUGGGUCAUGUUCCCAUAUUCUUGGAACAGAGGAAAGUAAUGAUUAGUGUUGACUUUCCUAUCGCCUACAAAAACUUGGGCUUUUCUAAUUUGUAGGGCCAAGAAAGACAACCUAAUUUUCUACUUACGUGAUAUAGAAGUUUACAAGUGAUCUCUAGGGCUUCAGAAAACAGAGGCGAUGAAGAGAGGACACAAACAGACCUCACUAUCGUCGACACUACGACUUCUUCACUGUGAAGCCAAUUACCUCUCGAUGGUACGGUUGAAAUACUAAAAAGACUGCCGGUGAAAUCUCUUUCGAAGGUCCUAUGCAUUUCGAAGCUAUGGUCAUCAAUUAUUAGUAGACAUAGAGACAUCAUAGAAUCGAUUGUGAGUCGUUCUUUGGCUCAGUCUCCACGUGAUGCUUAGCUUAUUUCAUCUACGGACUACGGCCACACUUCAAACAACUACUUACCUUCGAAAUAGAAUCAAUAUUAUUAUAUUAAUAUCCCUGAAGGAUUAAGGCAUUACAUCCGUGGCUUGAUUUUUUGUUGGUCAG
rnacentral:sRNA from 1 species